GAUGUUUGGGUAGCAAAAUCUUACAAUUAUUUCACAUGUGACCAUCUUUCUAGACAGGUAAGGGUAAAUCCCUAGUAAAACAUGAUUCUUUUUGUUUUACAUAAAUUUUUAACAAAAUUUUAUAGGCUUAAUUUCCUCUGACCCUGUUAGUCAAACAUAAUCAGUUGUUCCUGAGCCAUCUCCUAAUGACUCAGGAAAACUGGCAAGUCUUCAGGAAUUUUGUGAACCAAUAGUUUGAAAUCAACUAUGGUGGUGGUAUUUUCACCACAAAAAUUGGUAAAUGAUACAAAUCAUGGCUCUUUCUUUUUUCCAUAGUGUGUUUGCUGUUAAAAAUUUGAUAGCAUGUUGCUACUAAAUAUCCCUUCCACCGAGCAUACGUGAAGGAAGUGUGAGUAGAUGAAGUGUUAUCAGAAGAGGCUGUAUAAAUUAGCAUAUUGCUACAAUCUUUAUAUUUUAUCCUUCAAGGUCUCCAAUCUUCUCACUGCCGGUGCCUAAUUCUUCAACAUUUUAAAUAAUUCAUAUUUAGAAUCACUGGGGUGCCAUGAAAAACACCCACCAUUUAAAAUUUUCUACAUGUUAACAUGCCAUUUAUAAGAACAAAAUGCAUGUUUAACUUUUCAUUCAGCAGAGUUCUAGGAAGGCUAUAAAUAGCCCAUGCUUUUAAAAGAGGUUUCAACCUCAGUUUUCUAGAAAGAAUAAGAAAAUGUGUACUGGCUAUUUAAAGCUUACCCUGUCUUAACAGACGGAAGAAAAAGCUUGCUGAAUCCUUAAAAAUCUUCAUAAUUAAUAUCAGACUCUCUAUGAUUAUCAAUAUCAUGUAUCAACUCAAAUUCUUCUUAAGGCAUGAUAAAGUAACUGGAAAAAUAACACCAAUAUUUAAUUGGUGUCUUUUAAGUGACAGGCACACUUCCAGGCAUGGAGGAUAUAUCAGUGACCCAGACAGAUCUUUGCUCUCCUGAAGCGUUCAUUCUUGUGGUAGAAGAGAAACAAUAAACAUGAAAAAAGACUAACUAAUAGGAUACUUUCAGAUAGUGAUAAAUUAUGUAAAGAAAACAAGACUGAGAACAGAGAAUGAGCACACUGAGCACAGUUUGUCUUCCACAGAAAUCUCAUUUAUUCUUAUGAUUUAACUCACAGAUUCAUCAUGACUUCUUUAUUAUUGCCAUGUUGAUAUUUUACACAAAACUCAGCAAAACAAAAACAAAACUCACUUCAGGUAGACCGUAAGUAUAAAUAUGUUUGAUGUUAAAAUUAAUUGUAGUUUUGUACUUAAUACUUUACACCAGUAAAUUUGACUUUGUUUGUAUUCAGUUACUGCUAUGAGCUGGGUACUGGUAUGAGAAUCACAGCUGCAUUUAAAAACACAUACACACAUAAAAUGUUGUUCUUGCUCUUCAAGGGUCUUCUGCUCUAGCACUCUUGUGUGAAAGAAUAAGAGACAAUUCCAGCUUAAAUUAAUUAUUUCUAUGGAAGAUUUAAGCAUCUGGCUGUUGAUGAUAUUGAGUAACAUAAAUAUUUCUGGAUAAGUGAAGGAGAUGUUCAGCACAGCUUUCCAAAGGAGAAUGCAUUCAUGUUAAGUUUUAAAGAAUGAAUAGUAGAUAGCAAACUCAAGAGGGUGAAGAGGAGAGAACUACCAGGUUAAGGAAAACCACAAGGAGAUUUGAAUGACCAAUACGUUUGAAUAAACAUGUUAAAUUUGUUGGUGAAUGCAAAGCAUAGACAGAAAACAGUGGUUAAAUAUGAGACUGGAGAUUAACUGUGGGUUAAAUCAUGAAGUGCUGUUAAGGUCAUAAUAAUUCUGUGCCAGAUUCAUGGAGAGAAAUGUCAAAGAUUGGUAUUGAGAAUUGUGUUUAAGGUCAAGGCUUUUUAUCAUAGCAGUCAAUUAGGAGAGUAUUUCGCUGCUUGAGAUGGAAAAUAAGGAUUUGUAGUAAAUCUUAGGGGGUAGGGUAUAAUUCUUGAGAUAUUUAUGUGGUGGAAUUGAUAGGAUCUGUGGAUUUUUUGUACCAAAGUGAGGUGGAAGGGUAACAGAUUAUUCUAGGUCAUUCUAGAUUAUUCUAGCUUAUCUAGAAUGAUAAAACUAUGACUGGUAGUUCCAUUCUCAAAAAAUGGUGAAUUCAGGAUGAGGAAUCUGCAGUUCUCUGUCUGGUUUUCAAAGACAUUUAUAAUUUGGCAUGUAUCAAUCUUGCACAUUUUAUCUCCCAUUGCCUCCAAACAUAUUCAUUUCCCUGUUCUCCUCAGCAACUUUAACAGCCCUUGCUGGGCUAUCUUAUUAAUCACUCAAAGCAUGUUAUUGGGCUCCUUCUAUGUUUCAGGCACAGUUCUAGAUACUGGCAAUUUAGCAAAGAAGAAAACAGACAAAUUCUUUCAAAGAGCAUACAUUCUCUUUGGGAAGCAAGGCAUUGAUCAUUCUGGCUAUUUCCUGCUGAAAGGGAAUGAAGAUGGGGUAACUGAGGAGUGAGAUUUUUCAACUUGAGAUUGAAAAUAUUCUCAGGUUCCAUAAAGUAUCCUGAAGUUCUUUGCACCUGCCAGGGAAGUGACCUUCUUUACUCACCUGAGUCACCAAGGAAAACACCUACAGCCAAGCACUGAAUGGAAAAAUGCUUUACUUACAUAAAGAAGAGACAGCAAGAUCAGCUUCAAAGGAAAAGCAGAAGAUAAUUGAAGAUUGAGGGAAUGAAGAAAGGGAGACGUUCUAAAGGACCAGAAAAGAAGCAGUUCAUGAAGUUAUACUUGACAAAGUUUUGUCCAGGUUUUUGGAGAUGAAAAUUGGGGGAUUAAAAUCAGAAUUACAACUAACAUCAUUGUUAGUUUUCUGGGUGCAAUAUUUGCAAAGUUGGCUAGUUUGCAUAUAAAGUAUUUUUCAUUCUGAAUUAAUUUAACUUCAAAUAAAAUAUUCUGUAGGUUAAAAAAAUAAUAACAAGUAUUCAAGUCAAAGUGUAUUGUUGUACCCAGAUAUCUAAACAAGAAUACUUCCACAUGACAGUUACAGAUUGGGAUAUGGUCUCCCUAGAGUGAGAUCCUGAUUGCGCCGGUAUCCACGUUCCUUAGCAUUCUUGGCUAUGAGUUUUAAAGAAGACUGGACACAAAUCCAGCCAUUGAGGUCCAUUCCCCUCAGUAAUAAAUACAGACAAAGAUAUGGAAAAUAAAAAGAAGGAUUUGGUCAUUAGAGAUAAAAAUGCAGCAAAGAAACAAAACUGGGAACACUGGAAUGAAAUUUGAAUUGAAUGGAAGUGGAGUUACAGAAGAAAUUUCGAACUGUGAGAAUGUGAUCCUGCUGCAGGUGGGGAGACUCUCGGGCUCAUGGCAGAGGUUGCACACACACUAAAGCAUAGGAGGAAUCCUGCCAGAGAAGGACCGUCUUUGCUCAGACAUUUGCCAUCUCUUGUGGGAGCUGUAGAGAUAUCACUGACCACAUCAGUGAUAUUGCGAAGAAAUAAAUCUGCCA
rnacentral:lncRNA from 1 species